rnacentral:rRNA from 1 species
GAUGAACGCUGGCGGCGUGCCUAAUACAUGCAAGUCGAGCGAACGGACGAGAAGCUUGCUUCUCUGGUGUUAGCGGCGGACGGGUGGGUAACACGUGGAUAACCUACCUAUAAGACUGGGAUAACUUCGGGAAACCGGAGCUAAUACCGGAUAAUAUUUUGAACCGCAUGGUUCAAAAGUGAAAGACGGUCUUGCUGUCACUUAUAGAUGGAUCCGCGCUGCAUUAGCUAGUUGGUAAGGUAACGGCUUACCAAGGCAACGAUGCAUAGCCGACCUGAGAGGGUGAUCGGCCACACUGGAACUGAGACACGGUCCAGACUCCUACGGGAGGCAGCAGUAGGGAAUCUUCCGCAAUGGGCGAAAGCCUGACGGAGCAACGCCGCGUGAGUGAUGAAGGUCUUCGGAUCGUAAAACUCUGUUAUUAGGGAAGAACAUAUGUGUAAGUAACUGUGCACAUCUUGACGGUACCUAAUCAGAAAGCCACGGCUAACUACGUG